rnacentral:rRNA from 1 species
GAUUGGCUCGCGUGACAUUAGUUAGAUGGUAGGGUAACGGCUUACCAUGACUAUGAUGUCUAGGGGUUCUGAGAGGAAGGUCCCCCACACUGGAACUGAGACACGGUCCAGACUCCUACGGGAGGCAGCAGUGAGGAAUAUUGGACAAUGGAUGGAAAUCUGAUCCUGCCAUGCCGCGUGCAGGAAGAAUGUCCUAUGGAUUGUAAACUGCUUUUGUAUGGGAGCAAUAAGGUCUUCGUGAAGGCCGAUGAGAGUACCAUACGAAUAAGCACCGGCUAACUCCGUGCCAGCAGCCGCGGUGAUACGGAGGGUGCAAGCGUUAUCCGGAUUUAUUGGGUUUAAAGGGUGCGUAGGCGGUUAUAUAAGUCAGCGGUGAAAUUUUUCGGCUCAACCGGAAACAUGCCGUUGAUACUGUAUAGCUUGAAUAUGGUUGCUGUGAGUGGAAUGUGUAGUGUAGCGGUGAAAUGCUUAGAUAUUACACAGAAUAUCGAUUGCGAAGGCAACUCACAAAGCCAAUAUUGACGCUGAGGCACGAAAGUGUGGGGAUCAAACAGGAUUAGAUACCCUGGUAGUCCACACUGUAAA